rnacentral:rRNA from 1 species
UGCUCUUCCGAUCUGACAGUUCGGUCCCUAUCCGUCGUGGGCGUAGGAAAUUUGAGAGGAGCUGUCCUUAGUACGAGAGGACCGGGAUGGACAUACCGCUGGUGUACCAGUUGUCUUGCCAAAGGCACCGCUGGGUAGCUAUGUAUGGAAGGGAUAAGCGCUGAAAGCAUCUAAGUGCGAAGCCCCCCUCAAGAUGAGAUUUCCGAAGCGAAAGCAGUAAGACACCUUAGAGACGAU